ensembl:lncRNA novel transcript
CAGGCACCAUGACUCCUGUGAGGAUGCAGCACUCCCUGGCAGGUCAGACCUAUGCCGUGCCCCUCAUCCAGCCAGACCUGCGGCGAGAGGAGGCCGUCCAGCAGAUGGCGGAUGCCCUGCAGUACCUGCAGAAGGUCUCUGGAGACAUCUUCAGCAGGUAGAGCAGAGCCGGAGCCAGGUGCAGGCCAUUGGAGAGAAGGUCUCCUUGGCCCAGGCCAAGAUUGAGAAGAUCAAGGGCAGCAAGAAGGCCAUCAAGGUGUUCUCCAGUGCCAAGUACCCUGCUCCAGAGCGCCUGCAGGAAUAUGGCUCCAUCUUCACGGGCGCCCAGGACCCUGGCCUGCAGAGACGCCCCCGCCACAGGAUCCAGAGCAAGCACCGCCCCCUGGACGAGCGGGCCCUGCAGGAGAAGCUGACUUUCCUGUGUGCGUGAGCACCAAGCCGGAGCCCGAGGACGAUGCAGAAGAGGGACUUGGGGGUCUUCCCAGCAACAUCAGCUCUGUCAGCUCCUUGCUGCUCUUCAACACCACCGAGAACCUGUAGAAGAAGUAUGUCUUCCUGGACCCCCUGGCUGGUGCUGUAACAAAGACCCAUGUGAUGCUGGGGGCAGAGACAGAGGAGAAGCUGUUUGAUGCCCCCUUGUCCAUCAGCAAGAGAGAGCAGCUGGAACAGCAGGUCCCAGAGAACUACUUCUAUGUGCCAGACCUGGGCCAGGUGCCUGAGAUUGAUGUUCCAUCCUACCUGCCUGACCUGCCCGGCAUUACCAACGACCUCAUGUACAUUGCUGACCUGGGCCCCGGCAUUGCCCCCUCUGCCCCUGGCACCAUUCCAGAACUGCCCACCUUCCACACUGAGACCUACAAGAUGGGGUACUAACACCACCCCCACCGCCCCCACCACCACCCCCAGCUCCUGAGGUGCUGGCCAGUGCACCCCCACUCCCACCCUCAACCGCGGCCCCUGUAGGCCAAGGCGCCAGGCAGGACGACAGCAGCAGCAGCGCGUCUCCUUCAGUCCAGGGAGCUCCCAGGGAAGUGGUUGACCCCUCCGGUGGCCGGGCCACUCUGCUAGAGUCCAUCCGCCAAGCUGGGGGCAUCGGCAAGGCCAAGCUGCGCAGCAUGAAGGAGCGAAAGCUGGAGAAGAAGCAGCAGAAGGAGCAGGAGCAAGUGAGAGCCACGAGCCAAGGUGGGCACUUGAUGUCGGAUCUCUUCAACAAGCUGGUCAUGAGGCGCAAGGGCAUCUCUGGGAAAGGACCUGGGGCUGGUGAGGGGCCCGGAGGAGCCUUUGCCCGCGUGUCAGACUCCAUCCCUCCUCUGCCGCCACCGCAGCAGCCACAGGCAGAGGAGGACGAGGACGACUGGGAAUCCUAGGGGGCUCCAUGACACCUUCCCCCCCAGACCCAGACUUGGGCCGUUGCUCUGACAUGGACACAGCCAGGACAAGCUGCUCAGACCUACUUCCUUGGGAGGGGGUGACGGAACCAGCACUGUGUGGAGACCAGCUUCAAGGAGCGGAAGGCUGGCUUGAGGCCACACAGCUGGGGCGGGGACUUCUGUCUGCCUGUGCUCCAUGGGGGGACGGCUCCACCCAGCCUGCGCCACUGUGUUCUUCUCUUAAGAGGCUUCCAGAGAAAACGGCACACCAAUC